CGAAAGCCUGACGGAGCAAUACCGCGUGAGGGAUGACGGCCUAUGGGUUGUAAACCUCUUUUUUCAGGGAGGAAUAAAAUGACGUGUACCUGAAGAAUAAGCAUCGGCUAACUCCGUGCCAGCAGCCGCGGUAAGACGGAGGAUGCAAGUGUUAUCCGGAAUCACUGGGCGUAAAGCGUCUGUAGGUGGUCCAAUAAGUCAACUGUUAAAUCUUGAGGCUCAACCUCAAAAUCGCAGUCGAAACUAUUAGACUAGAGUAUAGUAGGGGUAAAGGGAAUUUCCAGUGGAGCGGUGAAAUGCGUAGAGAUUGGAAAGAACACCGAUGGCGAAGGCACUUUACUGGGCUAUUACUAACACUCAGAGACGAAAGCUAGGGUAGCAAAUGGGAUUAGAUACCCCAGUAGUC
rnacentral:rRNA from 1 species